rnacentral:rRNA from 1 species
UACGGAGGAUCCGAGCGUUGUCCGGAAUUACUGGGUGUAAAGGGAGCGUAGGCGGGAAAGCAAGUCAGAAGUGAAAAUUAUGGGCUUAACCCAUAACCUGCUUUUGAAACUGUUUUUCUUGAGUGAGUCAGAGGCAAGCGGAAUUCCAAGUGUAGCGGUGAAAUGCGUAGAUAUUAGGAGGAACACCAGUGGCGAAGGCGGCUUGCUGGACGACAACUGACGCUGAGGCACGAAAGCGUGGGGAUCGAACAGG